CUUGAUUGUCCUGUUCUGGAGCUCUGUUCUUAGCUUUAGACAAAAAGUUUCUGCCCCACCCAUCCCCAUCUUAGCACUAUCAGCCACCCCAAACUAUGUAUUAUGUCCUCAUCCCAAGUCCAGACUAGGAUUCCUGGCUUUGUUCUGGGCCCACACAGGUCAGUCCACUUCAGCCCAGACUGCCCUGGGCUUGGACUCUUGACUUGUCCAUGAUGUUGAAAUUUCAAGAGCAGCAUGCCGUGACUGGUGAAGUAGAACAGCAUGAUGCUGGCGCCAGCUACAGCUCCUCAUCAGGCUGCGCUCGGCUCCGAGGCGGGGGGCUCAGAGCGGCAAGCAGAACCGAGACCGUCCGUCAAUCUGUCGCUCCGCCGGAACUUUCUCUAAAUAUGGAUCUAGUAUUUGUCUUUAGGCACUCUGCAUCAGCAAGCUGACCUGAAGAAAGAGACUCAUUCCCUGGAUCCUGUGUUGACUUGCUGGUUGAGUAGCUGGCCUUCCUUUCCUGCCUUCUGGAGAGAUUGGUGCUGGAGAGGCCUUUCUUUCCUGGAGGAGGCUGCAUUGGUGGAACCCUUCCUGAAGACAUCACUAGGACUCCUCGCUUAAGAGACUACCACAACUCCAUGUGGAGAUCAGGACUUUAGAGCCCUUGCCAGGUGGUGACCUGGACUUCUUUGGACAUAAAUAUAGGGUAUGU
rnacentral:lncRNA from 1 species